rnacentral:rRNA from 1 species
AGUGAACGCUGGCGGUAGGCCUAACACAUGCAAGUCGAACGGCAGCACAGUAAGAGCUUGCUCUUACGGGUGGCGAGUGGCGGACGGGUGAGGAAUACAUCGGACUCUACUUUUUCGCGGGGGAUAACGCAGGGAAACUUACGCUAAUACCGCAUACGACCUACGGGUGAAAGCAGGGGAUCUUCGGACCUUGCGCGACUGAAUGAGCCGAUGUCGGAUUAGCUAGUUGGCGGGGUAAAGGCCCACCAAGGCGACGAUCCGUAGCUGGUCUGAGAGGAUGAUCAACCACACUGGAACUGAGGCACAGUCCAGACACCUACGGUCGGCCGCAGUCGGGAAUAUUGGACAAUGGGCGCGAGCCUGAUCCAGCCAUACCGCGUGAGUGAAGAAGGCCUUCGGGUUGUAAAGCCCUUUUGUUGGGAAAGAAGAGCAAUAGGUUAAUACCCCGCUGUUCUGACGGUACCCAAAGAAUAAGCACCGGCUAACUUCGUG